GGGUCAGUAGGUUGGUCGUGCCACCGGUACGUACUGGUCUCACUGAUUCCUCCUUCCUGAAGAACCGUAAUGCCAUUAAUUUGGUGUUGCGGGGAAACAGGACUGUUACUUUGAAAAAAUUAGAGUGUUUAAAGCAAGCUAACGCUUGAAUACAUUAGCAUGGAGUAAUGAAAUAGGACGAUCGAUCCUAUUUUGUUGGUUUCUAGGAUUGACGCA
rnacentral:rRNA from 1 species